rnacentral:rRNA from 1 species
GCGCAGCAGUCGAGAAACUUACAAUGCGGGAACCGUGAUAAGGGAACCUCGAGUGCUGGCGCAUAGCGUCGGCUGUCCAGAUGCCUAAAGCAUCUGAUAGCAAGGGCCGGGCAAGACCGGUGCCAGCCGGCCGCGGUAACACCGGCGGCUCGAGUGGUGGCCACGUUUAUUGGGUCUAAAGCGUCCGUAGCCGGCUCGGCAAGUCCCCUGGGAAAUCUGGCGGCUCAACCGUCAGGCGUCCAGAGGAUACUGCUGGGGCUUGGGACCGGGAGAGGUGAGAGGUACCUCAGGGGUAGGGUGAAAUCGUUGUGGAU